rnacentral:rRNA from 1 species
CCUACUGGUGGCAGCAGUGGGGGAUAUUGCACAAUGGGGGAAACCCUUAUGCAGCGACGCCGCGUUUGGGAAGACGGUCCUCUGGAUUGUAAACCACUGUCCCCAGGGACGAAGAUGACGUUACCUGGGGAGGAAGCUCCGGCUAACUACGUACCAGCCGCCACGGUAAUACGUAGGGAGCGAGCGUUGUCCGGAAUUACUGGGUGUAAAGGGGGCGUAGGCGGGAGUGCAAGUUGGUUUUCAAAUCUACCGGCUCAACCGGUUGCCGCACUCAAACCUGCAGUUCUUGAGUGAAGUAGAGGAAGGAGGAAUUCGUGGUGUAGCGGUGAAUGCGUAGAUAUUAGGAGGAACACCGGUGGCGAAGGCGGCCAACUGGGCUUUAACUGACGCUGAGGCUCGAAAGUGUGGGGAGCAAACAGGAUUAGAUACCCUUGUAGUC